ACACCGCUAGCUCAAUUGGACAGAGCGUCGGUCUACGGAACCGAAGGUUGGAGGUUCGAGUCCUCCGCGGUGUA
rnacentral:tRNA from 1 species